UUUAAACUAAAACAAAAACCGUGGAUAAAAAGGGGUACAGGCUACGCUUUGUUACAUGUUGUCUGUUGAAGAUGCAUAAGCAACUGUUAUGUUGCCCCAACGCCUAAACAGCCGUGGCCUAAGCCGGAUAGGCAACGGUUUUCAUUACGAGAUUAAACAAACUGUCGAAAUAUGGUAACACGUGAAAAUUGUUGCCUAUGAGUAUUUACACAACACUUUUGCAGCCGUUGCCUGUAGUGUCGUUGCCAAAGGUCAAAAAUGUUGUAGUGCAACAAACUAAAAACAGAACCCUUCUAAAAAAAACUGCAUAACAAACAGAUGUACCAGGAAAUAAAACAUUGCUCUAUUGAGAAAACUGCAAUCCCUUAAAAAUGCCUCUUUUCUUCCUUAAAUUUGAACUAAAAUUACUACAAAUCUACAAUAGUAGGCUAGAGCACAAGCUCAUUUUGUAGCCAUUAACUAAACAGCAAGAUCUUAGAACAUAACAAAUAUUAAUAAAAAUUAUUACUACAUUCAAAUAUAACACUAGAGAAUGAUCUUAGAACAUAACAAAUAUUAAUAAAAAUUAUUACUAUAUUCAUUUUUAGCUUCCAAUUAGAGUCUGAUCUUGCUUGCGAAUAAAUCCGAGAGCAGUGCCUAAUCUCAGGUUCCUUCUUGUUUAUAUAUUGAGCUCUUAAAGUCAAUGGAUUUUGACUCCUCAAGCUUAUAGAUUGGAUAUGUCAUUUGAAGCAAUACUGAUGAAGAAAAAAACUAUCCUAAGUGCACUUAAGCUUAUAGAUAUAACACAUCCUUGAAGGGAAGCCUGAGAGAAUGGGCUACUUAUCAUACAAGAAUCUCAAGGCCUAAAUAUACAAACAUGAAAAGGGGAAAUUUGUGUGCAACAUGCUUGAAUAAUUCAAAAAGUAGAUUAUCUAUUUUAUUAUUAAGAAAGCCAACUUACAAUAUGAGCCAGAGCAAGUAUAUUCUCAAGGAAGAUCUUCAUCAAAUUUGACAUUGUGGGUUCUUACUGACCAAUAAAGAUGAUGCUUACAACUGAACCUAUAUGAUGAAAGUACAACCAACCUCAUAAAACUCAAAAAAGAUAAAAUGACACUGUGGUACAAAAUUUCUUCCUAUUUUGACAUCACUGGAGGUAAAUGUUAAGUAAAACAAAUAUGGCACCAAUUUAAUUAGUAGUGAGUACUACUCAGCUAAACAAACAUAUAGUGAACCAAAUUUAUUUAUUGCAGAAAAAUGAAGAUCCAAUAGAUGAUAGCCAUUAUAGGGCAUGUAAUGCAUCAUUAAAUGUAAAAUGAAAAGUAUGUCAAGCUCCAACAUAUUUAAGGCUAAAUUAAAUUUCAGAAGGCAAUAAAGGAAAUAUUCGCAGCAGCAAAAAUAUAUUACCUUCGUGAAUCGCCGAGAUAUCGUCACCUUCAGAGAUUGAUUGAACAAGAUGAGAGCAGCUAGGGAUUUACAGUUCAAGCGUUUCAAACAAGAGUUUGGUGAUUCUGAAAUUUUGAAACAUUUCUCAAAUAAGUGUUUCAAAAUUUUAGGGUUUCUUGGAGUAGAGAACGUUUCGUGAGUCUCGAAAGCAUUAUUGGUUCGCGAGUCUCGGAAAUUUUGAAAGAGUAAAGAAGGGUUUGUUAGAUUUUGUAGUUUGUGAGUUUAGGGUUUCUUGAGAAACAGAGUAGAGAAGGAGUGCAUGAUUCAAUGAGUUUCUUCGUGAGGGAUUCACUGAGUUUAGGGUUUGUGAGGGAUUCGACGAGUUUAGGGCUUGUGAGGGAUUCAACAAAGCCUUGGAUUCAAUCGAAUAGAGAAGGAGUACUAAAGAAUGGGUUCUGAGAAGAAUCCGAGUUUCUGAAAUCUGGGAAGAAUGGAUUCAAGUUUCUGGAACCUAAAGAAGAAUGGAUUUGUGAGGAAGAAUGUGUGUGUUCGUAAGAGAAUAAAUUUUUAUUAAAAUAAUAAGAAAUCACACCAAAACGGUUUUUCAGCAUUGCCC
rnacentral:lncRNA from 1 species